CUCCGGGCUUGCCUCUGCAGAUGUCUUUUGCUCAACAGUGCCCAUCCUUGGCAGAACCUUUGGCUUCUGCUUCUCACCUAGGCGUCGAAAGAGAAGCUUUGAAUCUUAGAGAGCGAGACUAGAGAAGCUCUUCAGGAUACCUACAAUGUGACCACGUGCUGGCAGGAGUGGUUCAUCGAGGCUCUGCUCAUCUCAGUGACCCAUUCAUAUUACAGGACAAAGCCCCUUUCUCGCUGACAGAAUGGAGAACGUGCUGAUGAAGCAAAGGGGAGAAAUGGAUGGGCUACAAAG